UUUUAAAACCCCAAUUCCCGCCGAAGUCGAUCACGAUCCGCUCCAACUGUGGCAUUCCAUAUCACAACAAUUAAUGUCUCAUCCUCAGCCAUUAUAACGAAGCUUGGUUACACGAGUCUUUUGCUUUCAAUGCAAACUGUGAUCUCCGCCGAUAAGAAUCCUCAAAAUUUGGUUAGAAGCAGCUUGUGAGAUCGCCUCCCAACCCAAGGAAGUUGGAGAUGCAAAGAGACAAUUGAGUGAAGAGCCUUUCUGCUCAAGCUCUCAACAGUGUCUGCAGGUCAAAAGAGAAACAAAGGACCACUUGCUCAACGUGUUCCAGCACUUCAAAAAGGGGGUACACUGGGCCAUGUUCUGGUAUGUUAAACCGCCACUGUUGAAUCUUUA